UCUGGGUGAGCCACCGCUGGGUUUUGUCGACUUUUGUCCCUGUUCUGUGGGUUUGAGCUGGACAAAGAGGUUUGGGGAAACGAAAUCCCGAACUUGUCAAUUUUUUAAGCUCCUAUAUCCUCAGCUCGUUUCAGCACAUUUUUUUUUUAAUUGAAACAAAAGAAGUUAUUUCUAGGGGCUGGGCACGGUGGCUCACGCCUGUAAUCCCAGCACUUUGGGUGGCCGAGUUGGACGGAUCAUUUGAGGUCAGGAGUUCGAGACCAGCCUGGUCAACAUGGUGAAACCCCGUCUCUACCAAAAAUGCAAAAAUUAGCCAGGCGUGGUGGCGGGCGCUUGUAAUCCCAGCUGCUUGGGAGGCUGAGGCAAGAGAAUCUCUUGAUCCCGGGAGGCAGAGGUUGCAGUGAGCCGAGAUUACGCCACUGCACUCCAGACUGGGCAGCAGAAUGGGACUCUGCCUCAAAAAAAAAAAAAAAAGUUACUUAUUCCUAGCAAUGGGCUGUAUAGCCUGGCCCGUCUCAUUGUAACAAAUUCCUAAGAACUGCGCAAAACUAGAUUAGAAUUUUGUCCUAUGCAAAGCUAAGCCGUCUCCCAGAGCAGAGCACAGUCACAACUGGUAGCUGGUGAGCUAAAACGGGUGUGCAGAUGUCCUGCAAAAUGUUAAUAUGUAUGUGUUGUCACCAUUUCAAAAGUGUUUCUCACAUUCAUUUCCUUAAUUUUAUGCCAGGUCCUAAGCUAGGAGCCUACAAUGCAGAGAGGAGACAAACAGAAACACCUCUUAUAAUUCAGACAGAAGCAAAUCAUUAUAAUUCAUUCAAAAAGCAUUCACGGAGCGCCUACUCUAUGCUUUGUGCUGGUAACUGAGGACACAGUGCUAAACCAGGCACAUACAGUCUCUGCCCUUGUGGUGCUUACAGUCUGUUGGAAGGAGACAGACUAAUUAAAUGAAUGUGUAAUCAUAUAACAGGAUAAGUUUUUUGAAGGCAAAGAACAGUGUUCCAUGAUUAAGAAGGGGUGGGGAGCAAGUAGUAGGAGAAAAAGAAACCUAGAUGAGAGUGUGAUAACCAGCCUCCUCCAUAAACCCCGAUGAUUCUUGGCUCCUAGUAUCCAUACCCUUCCGUAGUCACCUCCCACCAUGAAUAGGACUGACCUCUAUAACCCGGAAAUCUUGGAGCACGAGUUCUAAGAUAUUGCGGAAAUCUUGGAGCACGAGUUCCAAGAUAAAGUCAUAAAAGACAUUGGAACUUCCUCUUUGCUCUGUCUUGAUCACUCGUGAGGAAUCCGUGUUGUGAGGACACUCAAGCAGUCCUGUGGAGAGGCUCACAUGGGGAGUAACUGAACUGCCUGCCAACAACCAGCUCUAACUUGCCAGCCGUGUGUAUGAGCCAGGUGGCUCCAGCAGUCCUAGUCAAGCUUUCAAAUGACUGUGGCCUGGCCAAAAUCUUCAAUAUAAACUUAAGAGCAACCUUGAGCCAGAAACACCUGGCAACGUCACUUGAAUGCCUGCCUCACAGAAGUUGUGAAAUACUAAAUGAUACUGUUUUAAACUCCUAAGUCUUAGGAUAAUUGGUUAUGCAGCCUAGAUAACAUACAUAGAGGCUCAAGGAACAGAGGUUAGAUACCAGAGACUCAAAAAAAAAAACAAAAAACAAAAA
ensembl:lncRNA